AUACGUAGGUGGCAAGCGUUGUCCGGAAUUAUUGGGCGUAAAGCGCGCGCAGGUGGUUCCUUAAGUCUGAUGUGAAAGCCCCCGGCUCGACCGGGGAGGGUCAUUGGAAACUGGGGAACUUGAGUGCAGAAGAGGAUAGUGGAAUUCCAAGUGUAGCGGUGAAAUGCGUAGAGAUUUGGAGGAACACCAGUGGCGAAGGCGACUGUCGGGGCGGUAACUGACACUGAGGCGCGAAAGCGUGGGGAGCAAACAGGAUUAGAUACCCUGGUAGUCCACGCCGUAAACGAUGAGUGCUAAGUGUUGGGGGGUUUCCGCCCCUCAGUGCUGCAGCUAACGCAUUAAGCACUCCGCCUGGGGAGUACGGUCGCAAGACUGAAACUCAAAUGAAUUGACGGGG
rnacentral:rRNA from 1 species